rnacentral:lncRNA from 1 species
GCCCUGGCCCACUGGAGACUCAUUUUGGCUUGAGGCUUCCCCAGGGAGGGACCCUGUUGGCUCUGAAAUUCAGCUGGAAAUUGUCCCAGUGUGGAUCAGAGUGAAGAUGUGCACAGUGGCCUUGGAGACAGAGUGUCCCUGGUGGCGAUGACCAGAACCCAAGAAGACUGGCUGUCAGAAGGGGCAGGGUGGAGGCUCCUGGCAGCUAAAGCCCAGAGAGGAAGGAGGCCCACAGCCGGGCACUGCCCAAGAGGAGAAGCUGCAUCCACCCACCUGGGCCCUCCUCCUGGAUCCCCCAGGCCCCUUGUGAGGAUCAGCAGGCUGUGUGGCCUGUUACAGCAGGCAUCAGGGGACCCUAGGCUCAGUGUCCCCAGUCCUGGUCCCCACCUGCCUCCCCGCUGCCGUCUGAGAUUGGCCUGGCUCACACCUGACUUCCAUCUGGAGACCUCAGGAGCCCGUGAGAAGCUCCUGUCCAUCCAGGUGGGCCCCACCCGCACUCUCCUCAGGGGUGCUUGGACACUUCCUUCCAGGCAGGGCGUGCCUCUGCCAGCAGCCAGCUCGGUGCCAGUUCUGACUCGCCCAGUGUGCGCUGCCCUGUCCUGGGCUCCUGUUAGUGGCACCCACAGUGCCUUGGAAACGUGCAAAACUCAGACCCCUGUCUCAGAGUCCACCACGACUGCCUGCCAUGCCCCUGGCUCUGAGCCCAGCGUUGUGCUUCCUGGACCAACUGAAGGUGUGCUUCUCCACAUUCCUCUUAAGUUCUCACAGAAAUUUAAGCCUUGAAGCUUGGUGUCAUGGAACAAGUCCCCCGGGGAGGUCAGGACUGUCAGGAUUGCUCAUCUGUUGCCCUGAAAUGCGUUCAAAACACACACAGGAGAAGAAAAGUCCUCUUUGACCUAGAAUCUCAGCCCAGUUAAGCUAGCUGCAUUUCGGAUGGCCAGCCAGGCGUCAGAAGCCUGCAUCCCACAAGGGUCCCUGCUGUCUGGUGAUCUGCGGUGUGUGUGGGUCCCUGUCCACGUGUCUUCUGCAGCACCACGUGCCGGGAGGGUCUUCAGCUCGCUGCCGGCCCCCAGGGGUCUGGCAUCUACUUCACACAUGACUGGAAGAAGAAGAAGGCUGACCACACAGCCAGGCGCGCAGGCCCUGGGACGACACCUGCCGUGAGCCGCUUGGCUCUCCAGGCGCCCACCGCAGCCUGGCCUGGGGCAGGCCCCCCACAUGGCUGGCAUGGAGUCUGCGAGAACAGUGCCCUGGCUUUCCCACAGGAUGCUGGGUACCAGGACCGCAAGCCCACCCGCCGCCCCUUCUCAGUCCGCAGACCUCUUGUGGUUGGGUUCUAUCUCCAGGCAGCUGUGUGGGGCCGCUCAGCAGUCCUCCAUGGUAGUCAGACCCUCCUCCCUGCCCAGCAACCUCACAAGUCACUUUUCCAAACAGGCUCUUGGGCCGUCAGCCCUGGGCCGUUUCCCCAGAGGUCUCCCUCCGAUUCCUGUUUGCUCUGCGCUUCUGAAGGUGGUGCUCAUCUUCCCUUCACGGGAUGCGCACCUUCCUGGACAGGCGUGUGGGCAGCUCGCUCUGGAAACUGCUGGGAAUCAGGCAUCAGCCCGGGGCUGUGCAUCCUGACUGCUCAGUGUCCCUGUACGUCCCAGCCCCGAGGCCCCUCACUGCAGCAGGACAGCCCCAGGGUUUCACUUUGGAAGGACAGAAGGCCACCUGGUCCUGGCCUGGUUGAGAUGCCCACAGCUGUGAGCUGAGUGUAGGAUUGUGACUGUGGCUUCCAAAGCAGCCUGUGGGAACCGUCACCAAAUGCAGCUACUUUUGAUAAUUUAGUGCCUUGCAAAGGUAACACUGGGUUAUCAGGGAGUGGGUGUCUAUUCUUUAUAUAUGCAAAUGGUCAGGUCACACCGGGCCUGAGGGCAAGUUGAGAUAGGCUCCCAGAAGCUUCGUGGGGCUCCAUGACACAGUGCACCUCUGGGAAGGCGUCCUCAGACCCAGCCUCACAGGCCAGAGAGGGCGCAGAGCAACAAGUGUCGCCCUGGCAUCUCCUCCCUCAGCUGGCCUGCCUUUACCCCUCCCCUCCCCAUGGCCUUCUCUUAGGCACACACCUGGAGGCACACUGCUUACGGGCCAGGAACUGAAAGCAGGCUGGGCUGGGCCUGCAGGCAGAGCGGCACCCGAGGCAGCGGACACUAGGGCAGAGAGUUGUUAGGAGGACCCACAGAAUGCAGGCCAAGAUGUCCUGUGGUGACGGGCCUUUCUGCAGAGCCUGGUAUCUGCACACCUGGGGCCCACAUGCCCGUGCGGCCCGUGCUCCACAGACCUCAUGGCUCCACCUCCCCGUGGUGAGGCGGGGGCCUGUCUCAGCCCCUCGGCUAACUGGUAAGGCGAGGUUGCGAUACAUCACUGAGUCGAUUUCAAAGGAGGAGACGGAAACUUGGUUCACCAGUUGGUGGUCUGGACCCACCAGCUGGCAGGCCAAGGGGUAGGCUGCAAGUCUACAUCCUUCGACCCCCUCCUAGGGUCCGAGUAUACCUUUUAUAGUGCAAAACCAUAUUAAAG